CAGAGGUGGAAGUGUGGUAACACAUGGAGCUGACUGUUACUAAUCGGGUGAGGGCUUGACCAA
rnacentral:rRNA from 1 species